GGGGGGGUAGCUCAGCGGAUAGAGCAGCGGUCUUCUAAACCGAAGGUCGAGGGUUCGAGUCCCUCCCUCCCCGCCA
rnacentral:tRNA from 4 species